GACGUGGAAGACUAGUGUUAUUCAUCUUUAAUAGGUUUAAAGGGUACCUAGACGGUAUUUCUAGCCAAAAAAAGUACAGAAUUUACCUAGACGUUUUAUGUGAGAAGGUGAGAAUUUUAAGGUGUAGAGAUGAAAUUUUUUAAUACUUUAAGGACGUAUAACAGCGAAAGCAACCUUCUAUGUACUAACUGACGUUGAGGGACGAAGGCCUGGGUAGCGA
rnacentral:rRNA from 1 species